GAUGGACUUAUGGCGCAUUAGCUGGUUGGUAGGGUAACGGCCUACCAAGGCGACGAUGCGUAGCCGACCUGAGAGGGUGACCGGCCACACUGGGACUGAGACACGGCCCAGACUCCUACGGGAGACAGCAGUAGGGAAUUUUCGGCAAUGGGGGAAACCCUGACCGAGCAACGCCGCGUGAAGGAAGAAGUAAUUCGUUAUGUAAACUUCUGUCAUAGAGGAAGAACGGUGGAUAUAGGGAAUGAUAUCCAAGUGACGGUACUCUAUAAGAAAGCCACGGCUAACUACGUGCCAGCAGCCGCGGUAAUACGUAGGUGGCGAGCGUUAUCCGGAAUUAUUGGGCGUAAAGAGGGAGCAGGCGGCACUAAGGGUCUGUGGUGAAAGAUCGAAGCUUAACUUCGGUAAGCCAUGGAAACCGUAGAGCUAGAGUGUGUGAGAGGAUCGUGGAAUUCCAUGUGUAGCGGUGAAAUGCGUAGAUAUAUGGAGGAACACCAGUGGCGAAGGCGACGAUCUGGCGCAUAACUGACGCUCAGUCCCGAAAGCGUGGGGAGCAAAUAGGAUUAGAUACCCUAGUAGUCCACGCCGUAAACGAUGGGUACUAAGUGUUGGGGGUCAAACC
rnacentral:rRNA from 1 species